UGGUUCUGGCAUCGAUGAAGAACGCAGCGAAAUGCGAUAAGUAAUGUGAAUUGCAGAAUUCAGUGAAUCAUCGAAUCUUUGAACGCACAUUGCGCCCAUUAGUAUUCUAGUGGGCAUGCCUGUUCGAGCGUCAUUUCAACCCUCAAGCCCCUGUUGCUUGGUGUUGGGAGCCUACGGGGUCACCUGUAGCUCCUCAAAGUUAGUGGCGGAGUCGGUUCACACUCUAGACGUAGUAAAUUUUCACCUCGCCUGUAGUGCUAGACCGGUCCCCUGCCGUAAAACACCCCUAUUUCUAGAAGGUUGACCUCGGAUCAGGUAGGAAUACCCGCUGA
rnacentral:misc_RNA from 1 species